AAAAGUGGGGGCUUGCUCCUGAUGUUAGCGGCGGACGGGUGAGUAACACGUGGGUAACCUGCCUGUAAGACUGGGAUAACUCCGGGAAACCGGGGCUAAUACCGGAUGCUUGUUUGAACCGCAUGGUUCAAACAUAAAAGGUGGCUUCGGCUACCACUUACAGAUGGACCCGCGGCGCAUUAGCUAGUUGGUGAGGUAACGGCUCACCAAGGCAACGAUGCGUAGCCGACCUGAGAGGGUGAUCGGCCACACUGGGACUGAGACACGGCCCAGACUCCUACGGGAGGCAGCAGUAGGGAAUCUUCCGCAAUGGACGAAAGUCUGACGGAGCAACGCCGCGUGAGUGAUGAAGGUUUUCGGAUCGUAAAGCUCUGUUGUUAGGGAAGAACAAGUACCGUUCGAAUAGGGCGGUACCUUGACGGUACCUAACCAGAAAGCCACGGCUAACUACGUGCCAGCAGCCGCGGUAAUACGUAGGUGGCAAGCGUUGUCCGGAAUUAUUGGGCGUAAAGGGCUCGCAGGCGGUUUCUUAAGUCUGAUGUGAAAGCCCCCGGCUCAACCGGGGAGGGUCAUUGGAAACUGGGGAACUUGAGUGCAGAAGAGGAGAGUGGAAUUCCACGUGUAGCGGUGAAAUGCGUAGAGAUGUGGAGGAACACCAGUGGCGAAGGCGACUCUCUGGUCUGUAACUGACGCUGAGGAGCGAAAGCGUGGGGAGCGAACAGGAUUAGAUACCCUGGUAGUCCACGCCGUAAACGAUGAGUGCUAAGUGUUAGGGGGUUUCCGCCCCUUAGUGCUGCAGCUAACGCAUUAAGCACUCCGCCUGGGGAGUACGGUCGCAAGACUGAAACUCAAAGGAAUUGACGGGGGCCCGCACAAGCGGUGGAGCAUGUGGUUUAAUUCGAAGCAACGCGAAGAACCUUACCAGGUCUUGACAUCCUCUGACAAUCCUAGAGAUAGGACGUCCCCUUCGGGGGCAGAGUGACAGGUGGUGCAUGGUUGUCGUCAGCUCGUGUCGUGAGAUGUUGGGUUAAGUCCCGCAACGAGCGCAACCCUUGAUCUUAGUUGCCAGCAUUCAGUUGGGCACUCUAAGGUGACUGCCGGUGACAAACCGGAGGAAGGUGGGGGAUGACGUCAAAUCAUCAUGCCCCUUAUGACCUGGCUACACACGUGCUACAAUGGACAGAACAAAGGGCAAGCGAAACCGCGAGGUUUAGCCAAUCCCACAAAUCUGUUCUCAGUUCGGAUCGCAGUCUGCAACUCGACUGCGUGAAGCUGGAAUCGCUAGUAAUCGCAGAUACAGCUUCGCGCCAGCGAGC
rnacentral:rRNA from 1 species